rnacentral:rRNA from 1 species
AUUGAACGCUGGCGGCAGGCCUAACACAUGCAAGUCGAGCGUGCGGCUCACUUGUUAUUAUUUUAUGGGGCUCUGCCCGAUAGAGGGGGAUAACUACUGGAAACGUUGUCUAAUCCCCCAUACUAUCGUAUUAACCCCUUUUGGAUUAGCUAGUAGGUGGGGUAAAGGCUCACCUGGGCGACGAUCUCUAGCUGGUCUGAGAGGAUGAUCAGCCACACUGGGACUGAGACACGGCCCCGACUCCUACGGGAGGCAGCAGUGGGGAAUAUUGCACAAUGGGCGCAAGCCUGAUGCAGCCAUGCCGCGUGUAUGAAGAAGGCCUUAGGGUUGUAAAGUACUUUCAGCGGGGAGGAGUGAACCGAAGAAGAAGAAACGGCUAACUCCGUGCCAGCAGCCGCGGUAAUUG